rnacentral:rRNA from 1 species
AGAACGAACGCUGGCGGCGUGGAUAAGACAUGCAAGUCGAACGGAAUAACUUGGUAGCAAUAUUGGGUUAUUUAGUGGCGAACGGGUGCGUAACACGUGGGUCACAUUCCGGGAAGUGGAGAAUAGCCCAGGGAAACUUGGAUUAAUGCUCCAUGUGGUCGCAAGACUAAAGGCGCAAGCCGCUUCCUGAUUGGCCCGCGGCCUAUCAGCUAGUUGGUGGGGUAAUGGCCCACCAAGGCUACGACGGGUAGCUGGUCUAAGAGGACGACCAGCCACACUGGAACUGAGACACGGUCCAGACACCUACGGGUGGCAGCAGUCGAGAAUCUUUCACAAUGGGGGAAACCCUGAUGGAGCGACGCCGCGUGGAGGAUAAGGUCUUCGGAUUGUAAACUCCUGUCAUGCGAGAACAAGCCUCACGCCUGAUAGUAUCGCAAGAGGAAGAGGACGGCUAACUCUGUCGCCAGCAGCCGC